GAAAGAAGGGCCUUAUGACUCCUACGUCCAUAAUGGUGACACUGGUACUAGAACCAAGGCACUGAAGUCAGCGGUUUCCUGACUGAGAAAUGUCAUUUUCAUUAUGUGUUCAGUAAUCAGAAUGACUACUCCAAAGAAGAUUGCAGAAAAAGACGGGAAGUGAAACUGUUUUUCAUGCUACAAUCCUUCCCCUUGGUUUUGUGGUUUUCUAGACCAACUACUCAUCAACCUCUAAUUCCUCUCUUUUGAAAAUUUCCUGAUGCUGGAGUUUCCUUAUCUUGCCUGUGGCCACCAACACAACUCAUUAUGCAUUUUGAAUCCCUCCCCCAGAGAUAGGUUCUUCACUGAAGUAUAAGAUCAGCUGGUUGGCUUGGCCAAGACAAGAAAAUUACAGUAAAAUUGAAAAAAACACACAUGAAAUUUGCUUUGGGGGU
rnacentral:lncRNA from 1 species